rnacentral:rRNA from 1 species
CUAACGUGGACCCGUAAUCCGGGUUGCGGACAGUGUCUGGUGGGUAGUUUGACUGGGGCGGUCUCCUCCUAAAGAGUAACGGAGGAGCACGAAGGUUGGCUAAUCCUGGUCGGACAUCAGGAGGUUAGUGCAAUGGCAUAAGCCAGCUUGACUGCGAGCGUGACGGCGCGAGCAGGUGCGAAAGCAGGUCAUAGUGAUCCGGUGGUUCUGAAUGGAAGGGCCAUCGCUCAACGGAUAAAAGGUACUCCGGGGAUAACAGGCUGAUACCGCCCAAGAGUUCAUAUCGACGGCGGUGUUUGGCACCUCGAUGUCGGCUCAUCACAUCCUGGGGCUGAAGUAGGUCCCAAGGGUAUGGCUGUUCGCCAUUUAAAGUGGUACGCGAGCUGGGUUUAGAACGUCGUGAGACAGUUCGGUCCCUAUCUGCCGUGGGCGCUGGAGAACUGAGGGGGGCUGCUCCUAGUACGAGAGGACCGGAGUGGACGCAUCACUGGUGUUCGGGUUGUCAUGCCAAUGGCACUGCCCGGUAGCUAAAUGCGGAAGAGAUAAGUGCUGAAAGCAUCUAAGCACGAAACUUGCCCCGAGAUGAGUUCUCCCUGAGACUUAGAGUCUCCUGAAGGAACGUUGAAGACGACGACGUUGAUAGGCCGGGUGUGUAAGCGCAGCGAUGCGUUGAGCUAACCGGUACUAAUGAACCGUGAGGCUUAACCUUACA